rnacentral:rRNA from 1 species
UGGGGGAUGAAUGGCUUCGGCCGUAAACCCCUGUCAUUUGCGAGCAAGGCGCAUUAUUUAAAAGAUGAUGUGUUGAUAGUAGCGAAAGAGGAAGGGACGGCUAACUCUGUGCCAGCAGCCGCGGUAAUACAGAGGUCCCGAGCGUUGUUCGGAUUCACUGGGCGUAAAGGGUGCGUAGGUGGUGAGGUAAGUCGGAUGUGAAAUUCUGGAGCUUAACUCCGGAACGGCAUUGGAAACUACCUUGCUGGAGGGUUGGAGGGGGGACUGGAAUUCUCGGUGUAGCAGUGAAAUGCGUAGAUAUCGAGAGGAACACCAGUGGCGAAGGCGAGUCCCUGGACAACACCUGACACUGAGGCACGAAAGCUAGGGGAGCAAACAGGAUUAGAUACCCUGGUAGUCCUAGCCGUAAACGGUGCACGUUUGCUGUAAGAGGAAUCGACCCCUCUUGUGGCGAAGCUAACGCGAUAAACGUGCCGCCUGGGAAGUACGGUCGCAAGAUUA